AUUGAACGCUGGCGGCAGGCCUAACACAUGCAAGUCGAGCGGAGCGGCGGACGGGUGAGUAAUGCCUAGGAAUCUGCCUGGUAGUGGGGGAUAACGUCCGGAAACGGGCGCUAAUACCGCAUACUAUCAGAUGAGCCUAGGUCGGAUUCGCUAGUUGGUGGGGUAAAGGCAUACCAAGGCGACGAUCCGUAACUGGUCGGAGAGGAUGAUCAGUCACACUGGAACUGAGACACGGUCCAGACUCCUACGGGAGGCAACAGUGGGGAAUAUUGGACAAUGGGCGAAAGCCUGAUCCAGCCAUGCCGCGUGUGUGAAGAAGGUCUUCGGAUUGUAAAGCACUUUCAGCAGGGAGGCGUUACCCGCAGAAGAAGCACCGGCUAACUCCGUGCCAGCAGCCGCGGUAAUAC
rnacentral:rRNA from 1 species